rnacentral:rRNA from 1 species
UGGGGAAUAUUGCACAAUGGGCGCAAGCCUGAUGCAGCCAUGCCGCGUGUGUGAAGAAGGCCUUCGGGUUGUAAAGCACUUUCAGCGAGGAGGAAGGGUAGUGUGUUAAUAGCACAUUGCAUUGACGUUACUCGCAGAAGAAGCACCGGCUAACUCCGUGCCAGCAGCCGCGGUAAUACGGAGGGUGCAAGCGUUAAUCGGAAUUACUGGGCGUAAAGCGCACGCAGGCGGUUUGUUAAGUCAGAUGUGAAAUCCCCGCGCUUAACGUGGGAACUGCAUUUGAAGCUGGCAAGCUAGAGUCUUGUAGAGGGGGGUAGAAUUCCAGGUGUAGCGGUGAAAUGCGUAGAGAUCUGGAGGAAUACCGGUGGCGAAGGCGGCCCCCUGGACAAAGACUGACGCUCAGGUGCGAAAAGCGUGGGGAGCAAAACAGGAUUAGAUACCCUGGUAGUCCACGCUGUAAACGAUGUCGACUUGGAGGUUGUGCCCUUGAGGCGUGGCUUCCGGAGCUAACGCGUUAAGUCGACCGCCUGGGGGAGUACGGCCGCAAAGGUU